AACGCACAUUGCGCCCUCUGGUAUUCCGGGGGGCAUGCCUGUUCGAGCGUCAUUACAACCCUCAAGCUCUGCUUGGUGUUGGGUGCUACCGGAAACGGUACGCCCUAAAAUCAGUGGCGGUACCAUUCGGUCUCAAGCGUAGUAAUUCUUCUCGCUCUGGGACCGGUUGCAUACUUGCCAUCAACCCAAAUUCUACCAAAGGUUGACCUCGGAUCAGGUAGGGAUACCCGCUGAACUUAA
rnacentral:misc_RNA from 1 species